GUAACUAAUUUAGUUUCUUGUGUUAUCUUUAGCCAUUCCUUAUCAUUUUAUCUGGUUCUGCAGGAUUGCAGAUCAUAGAGGUACAAUUUGGUCAUAUUUUUCGACGCGAGUACCUCACCUAGAUGCCAUGCUAAUGCAGUUUGACAAGAGUCGUAAUAAAACUAAUGGAUAAUGGUGUUUCUUACUCCUUGGCCUCAUCAUUGUGAGGACAAGAGCCUAACUGGACAUGCGUUUGAGCAGCUGUAUCACAGAACUUCACAAGAGGGUAUUGCCUUACAAGAAGGGAGAGUACAGUGGGAAAUAUGUGGAACGUUUCAUGAGGGGGAUUGAGCUUCACGAGUUGAACGAGGCCAUAACAGCGGUCAAUAGUCUAGUUCAAGGGAUGUGGUGAAACUGAAGCUCUUGGACACUUGCAGCAUUUCGUCCAUGAGGCCUGAUGGCCAUGCUGGUCCUUGCAGGGUGUUCCAUACAUUUGCACAGGGCAGCAACAAGGAUUGCUCAUCGGUUCAGAAUGAUUGCCUGCAUUGGUGCGUGCCCAUCGACGCCCGGAAUGAUCUGAUCAUGAAGUUGGUUCUGAACUGAUGAAACCUGUAGAUGUGUAGUAUGUUGCGCUCCUUGCAGGUCACAAGAUACUGGUUGGGUUCAGACACUAGACCCAGCGAGUUAAGAGUUCAACAGUGUUGAGUGUUGACCCUGUUUGUUGUAUCCAGCACCACCACGGUCUCCCACCUUAUGUAUGUACGCCAAACCGUUUGACUACACUCGUUACACGUAGUGUAGCCAAGCCAAAUCGUUUGACUACACUAAGUGUAUGAGUCGCUCCAAACCUCCAAAUGGUUGGUUUGGAGCGACUUCAGACCAAUCAAAUUGUAGUUGCGCCAGACCGUUUAACUACAUUCGUACA